CGAGAAAGCCCGCAAGGGUGAGUAAAGCGGCGCACGGGUGCGUAACACGUGGGUAAUCUGCCCUAGAGUCCGGAAUAACUCGCCGAAAGGCGUGCUAAUGCCGGAUGAGACCACGGGAGCCUCGGCUCCUGCGGGAAAAGGUGGCCUCUGUAUACAAGCUAUCGCUCUAGGAUGAGCCCGCGGCCCAUCAGCUCGUUGGCGGGGUAAUGGCCCACCAAGGCUACGACGGGUAGCUGGUCUGAGAGGACGAUCAGCCACACUGGAACUGAGACACGGUCCAGACUCCUACGGGAAGCAGCAGUGGGGAAUCUUGCGCAAUGGGCGAAAGCCUGACGCAGCAACGCCGCGUGUGUGAUGAAGGUCUUCGGAUCGUAAAGCACUGUCGCGAGGGACG
rnacentral:rRNA from 1 species